UACGGAGGGUGCAAGCGUUAUCCGGAUUCACUGGGUGUAAAGGGUGCGCAGGCGGACUGGUUAGUCUGGGGUGAAAUCUCAUCGCUUAACGGUGAAACUGCCUUAGAUACUGCCAGUCUUGAAUCAGCGAGAGGUUCGUGGAAUUCCGAGUGUAGCAGUGAAAUGUGUAGAUAUUCGGAAGAACACCAGUGGCGAAGGCAGCGAACUGGCGCUCGAUUGACGCUCAGGCACGAAAGCAUGGGGAUCAAACAGGAGUUAG
rnacentral:rRNA from 1 species